UCUAUCCCCCACCCCGCCUGCCCAGUGUUCAGACUACCUGUUCCUCCAGCUACAACUGAACAGUAGUCUGCACAUUGGUUAGGCUAGACUGGGAGCCAC
rnacentral:pre_miRNA from 12 species